UACGUAGGCAGCAAGCGUUGUUCGGAAUUACUGGGCGUAAAGAGUGUGUAGGCGGUGCCUUAAGUUCGGUGUGAAAUCUCCCGGCUCAACUGGGAGGGUGCGCCGGAAACUGGGGUGCUCGAGUAUGGGAGAGGUAAGCGGAAUUCCUGGUGUAGCGGUGAAAUGCGUAGAUAUCAGGAGGAACACCUGUGGUGUAGACAGCUUACUGGACCAUCACUGACGCUGAGACACGAAAGCGUGGGUAGCAAACAGG
rnacentral:rRNA from 1 species